rnacentral:rRNA from 1 species
CUCCUACGGGAGGCAGCAGUGGGGAAUAUUGGACAAUGGGCGAAAGCCUGAUCCAGCAAUGCCGCGUGAGUGAUGAAGGCCUUAGGGUUGUAAAGCUCUUUUACCAGGGAUGAUAAUGACAGUACCUGGAGAAUAAGCUCCGGCUAACUCCGUGCCAGCAGCCGCGGUAAU